GGGGAAUAUUGGACAAUGGGGGCAACCCUGAUCCAGCAAUUCUGUGUGCACGAAGAAGGUUUUCGGAUUGUAAAGUGCUUUCAGCAGGGAAGAAGGAAGUGACGGUACCUGCAGAAGAAGCGACGGCUAAAUACGUGCCAGCAGCCGCGGUAAUACGUAUGUCGCGAGCGUUAUCCGGAAUUAUUGGGCAUAAAGGGCAUCUAGGCGGCCUGACAAGUCAGGGGUGAAAACCUGCGGCUCAACCGCAGGCCUGCCUUUGAAACUGUAAGGCUGGAGUACCGGAGAGGUGGACGGAACUGCACGAGUAGAGGUGAAAUUCGUAGAUAUGUGCAGGAAUGCCGAUGAUGAAGAUAGUCCACUGGACGGAAACUGACGCUGAAGUGCGAAAGCCGGGGGAGCGAACAGGAUUAGAUACCCUGGUAGUCCCGGCCGUAAACGAUGAUUACUGGGUGUGGGCAGGAAGACUGUCUGUGCCGAAGCGAAUGCGAUAAGUAAUCCGCCUGGGGAGUACGGCCGCAAGGCUG
rnacentral:rRNA from 1 species